rnacentral:lncRNA from 1 species
UAUCCAUGUACUUACACAUAUCUUGUUAAAAAGAGUGCAUACCAAUGAGAUCAGCUUUUUGUUUUAUCAUCUAAUAUACCACCUGCAUCAUCAAUUGUAGAGUAUGUUUAUGUAAGUUUAUCAAACAUCAUGAAAAUGUAUUACAAUACAAUCAUUAAGGAAAAAGAAGCAGAAACUUACUUUGCUAGAAAAAUGUAUGAAGGAUUUUUGGCAUGAUAGAGAUGAAUGAAUGAGAUGGGAAGGCAAUGGUUUAAAUACACUUGAGGAAAGGGAAAGGGGGAGAGGAGCGUGAGAGAGAGAAAGGGGGAGGAAGAUUAAGUAAUAAAGAAAUAAGGAGCUUGGCGCCCAAGAAAGCUUAAAUGCUGCACUGCACACCUGCACUGUACAACACUGCACACCUGCACUGCAGUGACACCUUGGCUGCUUUUUUUGAUAUAUUGCCACCAUUGAAAUGACCAGCAGAGUUUGGAGAAGAGCCCAAUUCACUGGUAGUGUAUCGCACGGUAAUAUCGGAGACUUCUCUACUGUAAGAUUUAUAGAUGGCACAUUGCAUUAAUACUCCUAAACUUUUCAAGAUUUAUUGACAGUGCUUACAUUUAACUUAUACAUUGUGUUUUUAACUCUACAACUUUUGUGUCCCAAGGGAGAGAUGAUGCAGGGAAAAGCAAAAAUGAAUUUGCUCUUUCACUUGCUUGAAAUUCUUCAUAGUGAAGAGUUGGUGGCAACAGAAGAUAAUAUUGAAAGUGUUUGAGUGAAAAUUGUUGUCUGAUACUUCCAUUUAUCAACUUCCAUUUAUCCUGCAAUGUGUACUUCCUGCUAACCAAUAAAGUUUGUCUUUUUCCCCUGUGAUCGUUUUGUUUGGCAUU